GAUGAACGCUGGCGGCGUGCUUAACACAUGCAAGUCGAACGGAGUGCCUUUGAAAGAGGAUUCGUCCAAUUGAUAAGGUUACUUAGUGGCGGACGGGUGAGUAACGCGUGAGGAACCUGCCUUGGAGUGGGGAAUAACACAGUGAAAAUUGUGCUAAUACCGCAUAAUGCAGUUGGGCCGCAUGGCUCUGACUGCCAAAGAUUUAUCGCUCUGAGAUGGCCUCGCGUCUGAUUAGCUAGUUGGUGGGGUAACGCCCACCAAGGCGACGAUCAGUAGCCGGACUGAGAGGUUGGCCGGCCACAUUGGGUACUGAGACACGGGACCAAACUCCUAACGGGAGGCAGCAGUGAGGAAUAUUGGUCAAUGGCCGAGAGGCUGAACCAGCCAAGUCGCGUGAAGGAAGAA
rnacentral:rRNA from 1 species